CCUACGGGAGGCAGCAGUGAGGAAUAUUGGUCAAUGGACGAGAGUCUGAACCAGCCAAGCAGCGUGAAGGAUGACGGCUCUAGGUUUUGUAAACUUCUUUUAUAUGGAAAUAAAAUGUUCCACGUGUCUGAUAUUGCGUGUACCAUAUCAAUACGGAACGGCUAACUCCGUGCCAGCCGCCGCGGUAAUACGGAGGUUCCGAGCGUUAUCCGGAUUUAUUGGGUUUAACGGGAGCGUAGGUGGAUGGUUAAGUCAGUUGUGAAAGUUUGCGGCUCAACCGUAGAAUUGCAGUGGAAACUGGCAGUCUUGAGUGCAGUAGAGGUAGGCGGAAUUCGUGGUGUAGCGGUGAAAUGCUUAGAUAUCACGAAGAACACCGAUUGCGAAGGCAGCUCACUGGACUGCAACUGACGCUGAGGCUCGAAAGUGUGGGUAUCAAACAGGAUUAGAUACCCUGGUAGUC
rnacentral:rRNA from 1 species